UGAAGAUGUAGAAUUCUCAGCUCCUCCUACACCAUGCCUGCCUGGAUGCUGCCAUGUUCCCACCUUGAUGAUGAUGGACUGGACCUCUGAACCUGCAGAGCUGUCUGACGCCAUUGCCCGCAAGCUGGCAUUUCUGUCCUGGAGCCUCAGCGCCAUGGCCCAACCCUCCUCCGGGGGCUGGGCCUUUCAGGACUACGUCUGCAGGCAUUGUGCUGGUGAUGCCUCAUGCGGGACUAAAGGAAGAGUGGACACACAACUGCCUGGGCUGGUGAUCACCUUCAUUAACACCAAAUCCUCUCAACUGGGAUCAGUGCGUGGUGAGCGGCUCCUCUGAACCCUUCCAGCGUCGGGAACAGCCUGGACUGGCAGAAACACCCACAAACGUAAUUAGCCCAGGAAGCCGAGCUGCGUCACCCUCACCCUCACACGGGCUCUGAAGCUCCGGUGUUUGCGGCUUCGUGCUCAUUCCCAUGCUUAUUUUUUAAGGCUUCCUGUCUGGUUGCCUGUCUUGAGGUGUCCCUGGGGACUCAAAUGAUGUGUGUCGACAUUCUCCUGAAGUUACAGAAGUCCUUCAUGACCCAAAUUUAAAAUAUCAUCUCCCAGGGGCUGGGGAUUUAGCUCAGUGGUAGAGUGCUUACCUUGGAAGCGCAAGGCCCUGGGUUCGGUCCCCAGCUCCGAAAAAAAGAACCAAAAAAAUAAAAUAAAAUAAAAUAUCAUCUCCCCAGACAGAUAGAUGGCAGUGAUCUGCCUAUGGACUGGAUUGGUUCAAAUUAAAUUUGACCUAAGGAGGCCUCCAUAGGGGUGCCUGCGUCAGAUUUUGCAGCCUAGUUUGGUGGUC
rnacentral:lncRNA from 1 species